AACGAACGCUGGCGGCGCGCCUAAUACAUGCAAGUCGAGCGAGAAGACGUAGCAAUACGUUUGUAAAGCGGCGAACGGGUGAGGAAUACAUGGGUAACCUACCCUCGAGUGGGGAUAACUAGCCGAAAGGUUAGCUAAUACCGCGUACGCUCCUUGGACUUCGGUUCAGGGAGGAAAGACGAUACCGUGGGUAUCGCGCUCUUGGAUGGGCUCAUGUCCUAUCAGCUUGUUGGGAGGUAACGGCUCACCAAGGCUUCGACGGGUAGCUGGUCUGAGAGGACGAUCAGCCACACUGGCACUGCGACACGGGCCAGACUCCUACGGGAGGCAGCAGUAAGGAAUAUUGCGCAAUGGGCGAAAGCCUGACGCAGCGACGCCG
rnacentral:rRNA from 1 species